rnacentral:ncRNA from 2 species
ACACUUGCCGCACUUUUUGGUGCUCGCAUCCGCGGAUCUCGCAGAUGCAGUCAAACGGGAAACAGGGAGUGAAGUCGACGAAGCAUACGGGACGAGCCAACCUGUGCUGCCCCCCGCAACGGUAAGCGACCGCAACGCAAGUUGCAAGUCGUCUCAUGCGCGUUUUUGCAGCGUGGGCGUGUGAAUUUCAUGCCCCGGGUUUGUCACUGGACGCCCUGCAAAAAACGUGUCGACGCCACUGCGCAGAUGCGCGGGAAGGCGAGACGAAGCGUCGCCAGCCCGGAUACCGGCCACACACAGUUCGGCGCG